GAGAAUGUCAGAUGUAAAAGAGCUGGGAUUGAAUGUCAUGUCAAAUAAGAACAUAAUAUCUCCUGCAAGAAGUAAAUCCCUUUGAAUAACAUACAUAAAUCAUACAAUGUUAGUUUGAUUCGAGUGGGUACGAGCAGCAGAGUGCUGUGCUGACAGAAACGGUUGGGGGCACCCAGACGCAGAACAUGGUUCUUGCGAAGGAACAGAAUCCGUCUCCGCGAUCCCUCUCCACGAAACCAGCUCAACUCUGCUUGCCGUCAUCACCGCCACCUCCUCCCACCGGCGGAAUGGUCUGCGGGUGGAUCGGAAGAAAAGAAAGAGUGCUGAGCCAUGAGCGUGCAUUGCGUCGAACACGUUGUGGGCAUGGGGCAACGUACGGGUGGGUGGCAGAGAGAGACUAACGUACCAUGUCGGGCUUGUAGACGUUGUGGACGACGGAGGCCCCCGCGAGGAGGGAGACGACCACGACCACCGAUGACCAGGCCAGCGACGGAGUCCCCGUCGGCGGCCGCCCACCGCCGAACUUCCUGCCGCCGC
rnacentral:lncRNA from 1 species